AUUGAACGCUGGCGGCAGGCCUAACACAUGCAAGUCGAGCGGGGGAAGGUAGCUUGCUACUGGACCUAGCGGCGGACGGGUGAGUAAUGCUUAGGAAUCUGCCUAUUAGUGGGGGACAACAUCUCGAAAGGGAUGCUAAUACCGCAUACGUCCUACGGGAGAAAGCAGGGGAUCUUCGGACCUUGCGCUAGUAGAUGAGCCUAAGUCGGAUUAGCUAGUUGGUGGGGUAAAGGCCUACCAAGGCGACGAUUUGUAGCGGGUCUGAGAGGAUGAUCCGCCACACUGGGACUGAGACACGGCCCAGACUCCUACGGGAGGCAGCAGUGGGGAAUAUUGGACAAUGGGGGGAACCCUGAUCCAGCCAUGCCGCGUGUGUGAAGAAGGCCUUAUGGUUGUAAAGCACUUUAAGCGAGGAGGAGGCUACUCUAGUUAAUACCUAGGGAUAGUGGACGUUACUCGCAGAAUAAGCACCGGCUAACUCUGUGCCAGCCGCCGCAGUAA
rnacentral:rRNA from 1 species